GGCGGCGAGUGGCGAACGGGUGAGUAAUAUAUCGGAACGUACCCUAGAGUGGGGGAUAACGUAGCGAAAGUUACGCUAAUACCGCAUACGAUCUCAGGAUGAAAGUGGGGGACCCGCAAGGGCCUCAUGCUCGUGGAGCGGCCGAUAUCUGAUUAGCUAGUUGGCGGGGUAAAAGCCCACCAAGGCAUCGAUCAGUAGCUGGUCUGAGAGGACGACCAGCCACACUGGAACUGAGACACGGUCCAGACUCC
rnacentral:rRNA from 1 species